AAACAUUGUCUAUCUUGCUCUAGCUCAUUUGUUUACACAUCAUUCAGUGAUCUUCCCUAAGUUUACUAAGGAAAAUUGAGCCAAGUAAUCAUGUUAGAUAGAACCCAUUUGAUGAAGAUAGAAAUAAGUUUAGCUGACUAGAGUACAUGGAUGAAAGAUUGAUCAAAUAAGCUCCUAAAUGUUAGAUUCACCAACAGAUCAACCAAUGGUAAAAGGCAAAGGACAACAAUUUCCACCUGAUCUAUCUUUUCAAACUAUUCUCAGAUGAAUCAAACAAGGAAGAUAAUUAUAGAUCAAACAAAGGAUGCCAACAUGUAUAACUUGCCUUUAGAUGACAUAUUCCUAGCUAACAUAAAACAAUAUGAUUAAGAGCCAAAAGGCAAAAGCUGCUAUAAGCUUGUUUACAGAUGAGUUGUGGUUGGAUCUAGAUUGCAUAUAAUUGAUUUUUUUUUGUUUUAAGUCACAACUCAAUGGAAGAACCACUCAAAGUAGAACCCUUGUGUUAAAAAUAGUACAGAAGGAAAUGAUUAAUAUUAGUAGAAAUACCUCAGAAAAAUAAUGUCUGAACCAAAUGCAAUCAUAUACGUUCAGAUAUCAGAUUGUCAUGAAAGUAGCAUUUUUGAGGUUACAUUCUAAACCUAUAAACACCAACUCCAUCUCUCUUAUUCAUUUAGUAGUCAUAAAAAGCCGUAACUUGACAUCAAAUAAAAAUAAAUAUUUGCUUCAGCCAAAUCAGAACACGGAUUGUCUCUUGAGAUAGAGAAACACCAAGGUCCCGUUUUUCCAAGAGACAUGGUCACAGUGUAUAAAAAGAUGCACAUCAAAGAUGACAAUUAUCUAUGCCACUCAUUGCAUUAUUUAAGAGAUGAUUGACCAGAAGAAAGCCGUUCACUCCGAGCUUGGCUAGCUUUUUCCACGUAAUCUUGGUGGGACUGAUGCUUUGUUCCUAAUAAAAGCAAGCAAAAAACAGAGUCAAUAUUUGGAUGUACUUAUAUGAAAUAGCCAAAUUCAGAGGUCAAGCACCAAGAGCAACAAAACGUUAGCUGCAAUUUUUCAUAGGGACACAGAAAAGGAAUCAUUAUGUGAAACAAAUGAGUGGCAGAAAAUCAAAAUGGUUUCCUUUCGCAGUACACAUUAUAUUUCAUAAGAAUGCCAAGACUAAAUUCCGAGUUAAUAAAUGCGUUGUCUAACUAUAAUAUAUUUCGAACUGCAACAGCAAUUCGUGAACCAGGACCUUUUGGUCUCUUAUUCACACAAGCAUGAUUGCUUUCAAUCAUUUCUCAUGGCAGAGGUGGUAAACAAAAUUAAAAAAAUCCAUCAUAAAAUUGAGUAUAUAAUUGUAUGAAAUCUAAGGGUUUAGGUAUCUGGUGUUUGUCUUUGUAUGUGCCCGUUAUAAGAAUUAUCAUUUAACAAGAUGAGAAAGUCUGAUGCAAUUGAUUUAAUUUGUUCCAUUAUAUGAACUUAGAAUCUAUAUUGAGCCCUGAGGAUAAGCAAAAAUUGACUAGAUUAUACAACAUAAAUACCAUUUCUAAUUCAAAAAUUUCUGGAAAUAAAUAAAACAAAGUUAUUACCAACUUAAAUUUUUCAGCUGUGGAAAGCCUAAGAUUAGGAUCAGCUUAGAGCUGUUGACUAUUGUUAUAGAUGAACUAGAACCUGGCGCUUCAGAUGUUCUGUGAAGAUCAGUGAACGGUGUGGUAUCAGUUAAUAAGAAAAGCAAACCAAAUGCUAAAUAAGAGUUAACAGAAGCUCGAUCUCACUGACGAGGGUGUACACAAAAUCUUAGCCAAAAUGAAGUAUAUAGGAUAUGACUUCAACGGAGAGAAUAAAAAUUAAGAAGCCUCAAAAUAGCAAAGUAGCAGAACACCUAAAUUUUGAAACUAUUGUAAUGCCUUUUCCCUAAAUAUAGAUGAAUAUUGUUUCAUUACACGUAUAGCAAAAUGGAUGAAAUGAACUCAUGUUCCGAUGUUCCUGUGAUUAUCUGAAAACAGAUGAGCUUUUAAUUUACAUUUAAAUGAUGUAUGUUCUGUAAUGACAGUUGAGCAGGAAACUAUAUCCCACGAAGCAAAGCAAAGCCUAAAUUGUAGAAGUGAACACAUAGCAAAUUGAGAAAAAGAA
rnacentral:lncRNA from 1 species